rnacentral:snRNA from 1 species
AGCUUUGCGCAGUGGCAGUAUUGUAGCCAGUGAGGUUUAUCUGAGGCACGAUUGUUGCUAAUUGAAAGACCCUAUUUCCAAAUCAGGGCCCAUUUUGAGGUACUGAGGGUUAGUACUUCAAUAUUUGAAUUUUUAUGGGGCAACAGUUC